UGCCGCUCUGGUUCCUGAUACCAACAGGUGGAAUGGGCAGAGAGGAUGUCUCUGACAAGGACUGAGAACUAGAUGAAAAGGGAGAACAACCCUGUGGUACCUAGGGGGACAGAAAAACACACUCUGCAGGAUGAAGAGGGAGCUGAGAACCUUCUACAACUAUAGAAAAGAAGGAUACAGACCAAACAGGAAGAGACUUCACAGGUAGCCUAGCAUGUCAUCUUGGGAGCUUGGAAGGCCACCAUACUGAGUCUUCAAAGUUUAUGAGAGGGUUGUGACUCCCCCACAUCCUGGGUGUGUGCAGAAUGGGUUACAGCGGGGGCAGAAAGAGAGACGUGGAAAACACACUAGCAGAUGAAAUGGUGAUUGAUUGAUUGAUCAGAAGCCCAGAAGGAGGUGACCUGAGCAAGCUAGCACCUCACCAGCCCGGAUGGAAAGAUGGAAACAGUGGUAUUUAAUAGACGGGAGACCUGAGGCGAAUUUGAGAAGCAAGCCAACAAGAUUUACUGACAGGAAGAUCAUCAAAGCUGCGGUCCCCACCAGCAGCUCCUGACAUUCCUGAGGAAACCUCCUUCCUUCCCUUUGGCCUCUUGUGGCUACACACAGUCACUCACUGACCCUGGCACACACUGUAGGUCCUCAGUAGGAAACCAAGCUAAUCUCUCUCUCUAAGGGUUUUUUUUUUUUUUUUUUUUUUUUUUUUUUUUGCCAUUUUGAAUCUUCCAGGAGAGCCUAUCUUGCUUAUUCUUGUAGCUAAUCCCAGCCCCUUGCACCGUGCCUUCCCCAUAAAGAGAUGUGAAUGAACCACUGCUCCACCGGUGAGCAAGUGGGGGAGAACGGGAAACAGCUCCAAGUUGCACUUACAGAAGACUAAGUACUGACAGGAAGCGCUGGUUGGAGAGUAACUGACCACCCUGGGAGAGCAGCCACUGAGAGGAACAAAGACACCUUUCACCCUGCAGGAUUUCAGUCAUUCAUGACUCAGCACCGGGAGGGAAGCCAGACACAGUGCAGCAGGAUCCUAGCCCUGAAUGGGGAUAGAUCGGUAGCCCAGCCCCACUAACAAGAAAGGAUACAAAAAGGAUACAAAGGCAUACAGGUGAAAGGGACUCCAUACACCAUCCCAGCACCGUGCCCCAGCCCAUUUGAAAACCCGUUAUGGGGCAGAUCAUGGCUGCUUCCACACUCAACAGCAGCGACUAGUUACCUGGGAAGCCUUGCUUGGCUGCAACUUCAAAGAAAACGCCACGCAAACAAGAGUGAUUUUACAUUGCUUUCCUAUCAUACAUUGUUCCAAGCCCAUCCUAAGGGGGUGCUCGGAAUCCAGUAACGAUCACACGAUUGCCAACUAACCUCUCCUCAGCAGCCUCACACUGAUGGUGGGGGUACAAGCUAGCCACACACCGAAGGUAUUUACGGCGUGCCUAUACUGUUGAGUGACAGUCACAUUCUUCUUAAGGAUUAAGCCUCAUCAACCAUUUCAAAGCCAUCUUGGGUUUACUCUGGCACCGAGAGACGGAGACAGAAAUCAACAUCAUCUCGUUACGUGAUCAUCUUUGGCAAGAGACGACAUGAUUUCGCCUUCACAGGAAGGAAUGUUGCCUGUGUGGAGCAAAUCAGGCCCAGUGAACCUGUUCACCUACCAACCCCUCCGCCACUCGAGUGAGUCAGAGGGAGACGGCCAUGUUGGUUCCUCUGGCUGGGUUUGGCAUUAGAUAAGCAGGUACAGAAGUGUCUGGGGUCUUUGAUGUAUCUAGAUACAAAUGACCGGGAAGUUCCUCUCCUUGGAUGAUCUGGAGCACACAGGAAAUCUCGGGAGGAAGGAGGCUGCCUCUAUGCUGUCCCCAACUGGGGUGAAGUCACUGUGGCCAGCCAUAAGUGCUCUUAGAAUUUGUCUUUUGGUCAUCACAACAGUGAUGGAGAGAAAGCCUCUCUCCUGGUGGCCUAGCGGGAGGCUUGUGAUUGGUCCCAAACAUGAAGGCGAGAGAGGCCAGGAUGAGAAGUAGACAGAGGAACAGAAAGCUGUGGAGAGCCAGACAUGUAUGCUCAUGUCUUCAAAAGAGGGUCCUUGGAUUGAGAUUUCCAGGUUAGUAAUCGCACUAUGUCAAUCAUCCAUCUAUUUAAUCCUCAGUGGAUGCCACCCCAUGCAAACCCCACCAAACCCAUACUAAACCACCAAGAAAUCCAACCGGGACACCCCAGUUCAAGCAUUCCUGGGCUAACCAUUAAUGCCAUACUCUCUGGCAGAAGGGAAACAGAAAAUGGCGAAUGUAUCUGCAUUUGGUGGUAGCCAGUUGGAAUGAGAAAAUGGCAAAGGGAAAUGAGGUUCCCACUAAGGAACAAUGCUGAGGUGAGUGGUCCAGUGGUUCGUCACAGCAGAGGGACACUAGGUAAGCUGUUCCACCCUUCACAUGGGAUGUGAAGCACACAUCCAAGGGCCACCGUCUGGUGGCAAAACGUGCUUUAGCACAGUUCUGCGGGGGAAUGGUUUUUCCUUUGAGCCUGAAGACCCCAAACAUGUAUACUUCAUGCCAAGCCACUUCCUAGGGAACAAGUCCUUUAUCAGGACACACCCACCCAGCCACGUGGGUCGUGGCAGGCUCAGUAACAGCUAAGGAGAGAAACAGCGCUCAAGGUUCACCGAAUACCACAACGCCACGCAAAAAGUAGACUCUGGUUAAGAACUUUUUGUUAACCUGUCUUGGGUUGUGAACAUCGAUGGGAAGAGGGUGAAGCGGCUGCCUCGGUGAGCAGCUAGGAAACAGAAUGUCUACAGAGAGUGCUGGAGAGAGCACGGUGGCUAACAGUGCAUAGUGCUAUUCCAGAGGACACAAACUCAGCCCCUAUGUGGGACAGCUCACACCUGCCCACAGCUCCAGCUCAGGAGAUGGGACACCUCUGGCCUCCCCAUGCACCCACACUCAAGUGUACCUAAACACACAUGCACACACAUACACGUGCACACACGCACACGCACGUGCACAUGCACAGGCAAGCACACAUGAUAAAAAUAAUAAAACAAAUAUACAAAGACAUUAGAAGACCAAGAUUAGUGUUAUGGCUCAGCUUGUAACAGCAUUAGACACAUAAGCCUGAGGUCCCAAGUUCAAUGGCUGGGACACCACAUAAAAAGGCUAGAUGCACGCAUUGGUGCAGGCUUGCAAUCCCAGCAUUCCUAGGGUGAGAAGGGAGGCAGAGACAGGAGACAAGGCAGGAAGCAAUGGAGUGCAGCUGGGCAGAAACAAUGUGAGGCUCUACAUUAGCAAGGUGGAAGCAGAAAACUGACUCUGAUCUGUACACAUGGGCCAUGGCACCUGUAAGUCAUGUCUUCUCUCUCACGUGUACAUAGUAGCAGAUAACGCAAUCAUUUAACAACAAAGUAGCAUCGGUACUCAAUUAUGGACCUGAAUUUUGUGUGUGAGAUGAUGUGCUACUCCUAUCUCCACCUGCACCAUGCUGGUGUGACAGGUACGCACCAUCACACCUGGUUUCUGACAGGUGCACACCAUCACACCUGGUUUCUGACAGGUGCACACCGUCACACCUGGCUUCUGACAGGUGCACACCAUCACACCUGGUUUCUGACAGGUGCACAUCAUCACACCUGGUUUCUGCCAUGCUGGGAAUGAAACCUGGG
rnacentral:lncRNA from 1 species